rnacentral:rRNA from 1 species
UACGGAGGGGGCUAGCGUUGUUCGGAAUUACUGGGCGUAAAGCGCACGUAGGCGGAUAUUUAAGUCAGGGGUGAAAUCCCGGGGCUCAACCCCGGAACUGCCUUUGAUACUGGGUAUCUGGAGGUCGAGAGAGGCGAGUGGAAUUCCGAGUGUAGAGGUGAAAUUCGUAGAUAUUCGGAGGAACACCAGUGGCGAAGGCGGCUCGCUGGCUCGAUACUGACGCUGAGGAGCGAAAGCGUGGGGAGCGAACAGG